rnacentral:sRNA from 1 species
UUCUUCGGCUAGAAUGAAUUUCUGGAGAAAGGAGUUGUUAAGAUGAUUUUACUGAACUCCCAAUAUGCCUUGUUUCCAUUCAGUGUUAUUUCUGAACUAAGUACCCCCUAUGUUGCUACAUAAUUGUCAUAAACAUCUUUCGUGGGCUGGGUGUGGUGAUUCAUGCCUGUAAUCCCAGCACUUUGGGAGGCUGAGGCGGGCAGAUAACUAGUUGAGGAGAUCGAGACCAUCCUGGCUAACACAAUGAAGCCUGUCUCUACUAAAAAUACAAACAAUUAGCCGGGCGUGGUGGCAUGCGCCUGUAGUCCCAGCUACUCGGGAGGCUGAGGUAGGAGAAUUGCUUGAACCUGGGAGGCAGAGGUUGCAGUGAGCCGAGAUGGCACCACUGCACUCAAGCCUGCGCGACACUGGAGCGAGACUCUGUCUCAAUAAAACAAAAAGAAAAGAAAAAAAACAAAAACGAAAACACACAUCUUUAGUGGCAGUAUUCUGUCAAAUGUCCAUAACAUAGUUUACUUACCUCUUCUGAGUCUGUUUCCAUUCAACUUGUGUUUGUUAAAUUAAAAAAAAAAAAUAGUGUGUAUAGAUCUCUCCACCACACUGUUUAGUCUCUUUAUACAUAUUUACUUAGUCUCCGUACUUCUAAAAUUUCUGCACCUCUCCAUUGUACUUUAUUUUCUGUUUUCCCUUUCACCCCAGGCCCAAUAAAGAGAGAUCAGCUCACUUGAGAUGGCUGCAGGAGAAAUAGGGAUGGUGGUACCAUGGGGAGGGCUCAUGUGAUGGUUCUUAUCUCAGGCAGUACCACAUUUGACAAUACUGAAGCCAGGUGCAGUGGCUUUUGAUUGUAAUUCCAACACUUUGCAAGGCCAAGGCGGGAGGAUCACUUGAGCCUGGGAGUUCGAGACCAGCCUGAGCUACAUAGUGAGACCCUGCCUCUACAACAAGAACAGCCAAAAGUAGCUGUGUAUCAUGGUGCAUGUGUGUAGUCCGAGCUACCUGGGAGGCUGAGGUAGUAUUGCUUUAGUCUGGGGAGUCCAGGCUGCUGUGAGCCAUCAUCUCGCCACUCAACUCCAGUGACAGAGUGAAACACUGUCUCAAAAAAAAAAAUAUUGGCAUGGUAGAGUGGUGGGAGUCGGAUUGUGGUAGUGAGUGUCCCACACAAUGAGGAGUUCUCCCUCAAAUGCCAUGAGUGCCUCCUGUUGAGAACCAUUGAGAAGGUGUGAAAUUUUCAGAGGAAGUUAAAGAGAUGGAGGAUUUCACAGAUGCUAACCGUGAGUUCCAAGGUAUACAAAAGAAGAAUUUGAGGAAUUAAGAGAUUAGGGUAUAAAAAGCUGUGUGAGGGUGUAGAAUGCUCUGGAUAUUGAACACCUGAGUGGGAGUCUUUGGCUUCUUGUGGUGACUUUGUGAACAAGGAUAAUUAGCAGGAUGGGGAUUGGUCUGGAUGGUCUUUGAGGCACAUUAUGAUGAUGAAGAUGUGAGUGUUGGGGGAGAACUGGGGUGGGAGCUUACUAAGAACUCACAGAAAUAAAGACUUCGUCUUCAUUCUUACAAAUGAACACAGCUCCAUGUCUCUCAGCAUUCCUCCUCCCUCUGUCCACCAUUGCUCUCCUUCUUUCCUCAUGAGCCUUCUUCUUUCCCUACAUGCUCCUCUUCCUCGCUUUCAUCGUCCUGUCUCAUCCCUCCUCCAUCUCCUCAUCUUUCUGCUCUACCUUCCUCUCCCUUUCUGUCUUCUCUUCUUCCUUCCUUCAUCUGUCUGUCUGUAUGUUUCUCUGCAUAACAAUCCACUAUAUAUAUUUUUUUGGGUCUACCAUGUUUCACACAUUUUACCAGAUUCUUUUACAUUGUCCUUUUUUGCUUUUAGCUAAUUUGCAAUACAGAUUAUUCUAUUUAUUUUAUUUAUUUAUUUUUGAGACGGAGUCUCGUUCUGUCACCCAGGCUGGAGUGCAGUGGCGCAAUUUUGGCUCACUGCAACCUCCACCUCCCGGGUUGAAGCGAUUCUCCUGCCUCAGCCUUCCGAGUAGCUGGGAUUACAGGCACGUGCCACCACGCCCGGCUAAUUUUUGUAUUUUUAAUAGAGACGGGGUUUCACCGUAUUAGCCAGGAUGGUCUCAAUCUCCUGACCUCGUGAUUCGCCCACCUCAGCCUCCCAAAGUGCUGGGAUUAUAGGCUUGAGCCGCUGUACCCGGCCGCAAUACAGAUUAUUAACCAUCAUUUUCUGAUCAGUUGGCAGAGCCAUGGAACUACAGAAGGCGCGCCACCCUAAGCACUUAUCCACACCCUCAUCUGUGAGUCCUGAACCUCAGGACUCUGCCAAGUUGCGCCAGAGUGGGUUAGCAAACGAAGGAACAGACGCUGGAUACCUGCCUGCCAAUUCCAUGUCUUCUGUAGCUUCAGGGGCCUCUUUUUCCCAGGAAGGAGGGAAAGAGAAUGAUACAGGAUCAAAGCAAGUUGGAGAAACACCAGCACCUGGAGACACCUUAGAUGGCACACCUCGUACUCUCAAUACUGUCUUUGAUUUCCCACCACCUCCAUUAGACCAAGUGCAGGAGGAGGAAUGUGAAGUAGAAAGGGUGACUGAACAUGGGACACCAAAGCCCUUUCGAAAGUUUGACAGUGUAGCUUUUGGAGAAAGUCAAAGUGAGGAUGAACAAUUUGAAAAUGACUUAGAGACAGAUCCACCCAACUGGCAGCAGCUUGUUAGUCGAGAAGUGUUACUGGGACUAAAACCUUGUGAGAUCAAAAGACAGGAAGUGAUUAAUGAAUUGUUCUACACUGAAAGAG